rnacentral:rRNA from 1 species
GAACGGGUGAGUACACGUGGGUGAUCUGCCCUGCACUUUGGGAUAAGCCUGGGAAACUGGGUCUAAUACCGAAUAGGACCACGCGCUUCAUGGUGUGUGGUGGAAAGCUUUUGCGGUGUGGGAUGGGCNCNNNGCCUAUCAGCUUGUUGGUGGGGUAAUGGCCUACCAAGGCGACGACGGGUAGCCGGCCUGAGAGGGUGACCGGCCACACUGGGACUGAGAUACGGCCCAGACUCCUACGGGAGGCAGCAGUGGGGAAUAUUGCACAAUGGGCGCAAGCCUGAUGCAGCAACGCCGCGUGAGGGAUGACGGCCUUCGGGUUGUAAACCUCUUUCAAUAGGGACGAAGCGCAAGUGACGGUACCCAUAGAAGAAGCACCGGCCAACUACGUGCCAGCAGCCGCGGUAAUACGUAGGGUGCGAGCGUUGUCCGGAAUUACUGGGCGUAAAGAGCUCGUAGGUGGUUUGUCGCGUUGUUCGUGAAAACUCACAGCUUAACUGUGGGCGUGCGGGCGAUACGGGCAGACUAGAGUACUGCAGGGGAGACUGGAAUUCCUGGUGUAGCGGUGGAAUGCGCAGAUAUCAGGAGGAACACCGGUGGCGAAGGCGGGUCUCUGGGCAGUAACUGACGCUGAGGAGCGAAAGCGUGGGGAGCGAAUAGGAUUAGAUACCCUGGUAGUCCACGCCGUANACGGUGGGUACUAGGUGUGGGUUCCUUCCUUGGGAUCCGUGCCGUAGCUAACGCAUUAAGUACCCCGCCUGGNGAGUACGGCCGCAAGGCUA